ensembl:rRNA 5S_rRNA 5S ribosomal RNA
GUUUACGGCCAUACCACCCUGAACGCGCCUGAUCUCGUCUGAUCUCAGAAACUAAGCAGGGUCGGGCCUGGUUAGUACUUGGAGACUGCCUAGGAAUACCUGGUGCUGUAGAGU